CUCUUUGGUUAUCUAGCUGUAUGAUUUUCAUAGAUUCAUAAGGCUGGACGACUGAAGGC
rnacentral:pre_miRNA from 1 species